CAGCCGCCACGGGAACACGAAGGGGGCUAGCGUUGCUCGGAAUGACUGGGCGUAAAGGGCGCGUAGGCGGCGAUCAAAGUCAGGCGUGAAAUUCCUGGGCUCAACCUGGGGGCUGCGCUUGAUACUUGGUUGCUUGAGUGGGGAAGAGGGUCGUGGAAUUCCCAGUGUAGAGGUGAAAUUCGUAGAUAUUGGGAAGAACACCGGUGGCGAAGGCGGCGACCUGGUCCUUGACUGACGCUGAGGCGCGAAAGCGUGGGGAGCAAACAGGAUUAGAUACCCGAGUAGUCCCUGUCUCUUAUAC
rnacentral:rRNA from 1 species